CCGAGGAGGUAAGGCUCAGGGCUCACACGGUUAAAGCUGAGCGUGAGUUGAGGGAGGUGAUAGGUGCUGCGUGGAGUUCAACUACGUGAGGAAGAUGGUCUGGAAAAAUGAAGCCAAGGAGAGAGAAGCGUGACUUACAAGGCUCUCGCUAUGCAUACAGAUGACUGACUCUUCAUUACAACCCUGUAAGGAUGAAAGGGCUUUUGCACAGUAGCCUGAAUCAUCCAGGUGGGCCCAAUCUAAUCCCAUGAGACCUCAAAGAUGGCGGAGGAGGGAUUCAACAUGAGAGAUUCAACUCACCAACACUGGCUUUGAAGAUGGAGGCAGGAAACCAAGGAACGGGACAACUUCUAGAAGCUGAGAAACAGCCCUCAGCUUACAACCAAGAAGAAAGCUAGGGCUUUGGCCCUAUAAUCGCAAGGAACUGGCUUCUGCCAACUCAAAUGAGCAGGAAGGUAACUCUCUCUUGGAACCUCAGAAAGGAACACAGCCCUGCUGACAUCUUGAUUUUAGCUCAGUGAGACCCAUUUUUGGACUUCUGACCUACAGACCGGUAAGAUAAUAAAUUUGUGGGGACUUUUUUUUUUAAUGUGUAAAAAAACACAUUCACAAAAUUUACCAUCUUAACCAUUUUUAAGUGUGCAGUAUAGUGGUGUUAACUAUAUAUACAUUGUCAUGCAACAAAUCUCUAGAACUUUUUCAUUUUGCAAAACUGUAACUCUCCUCUUUGAACAGAAGCCUCCUCCCUCCUCAUUUUCCCC